rnacentral:rRNA from 1 species
AUUGAACGCUGGCGGCAGGCCUAACACAUGCAAGUCGAACGGUAACAGGAAGAAGCUUGCUUCUUUGCUGACGAGUGGCGGACGGGUGAGUAAUGUCUGGGAAACUGCCUGAUGGAGGGGGAUAACUACUGGAAACGGUAGCUAAUACCGCAUAACGUCGCAAGACCAAAGAGGGGGACCUUCGGGCCUCUUGCCAUCGGAUGUGCCCAGAUGGGAUUAGCUAGUAGGUGGGGUAACGGCUCACCUAGGCGACGAUCCCUAGCUGGUCUGAGAGGAUGACCAGCCACACGGGAACUGAGACACGGUCCAGACUCCUACGGGAGGCAGCAGUGGGGAAUAUGGCACAAUGGGCGCAAGCCUGAUGCAGCCAGGCCGCGUGUAUGACGAAGGCCUUCGGGUUGUAAAGUACUUUCAGCGGGGAGGAAGGGAGUAAAGUUAAUACGUUGGCUCAUUGACGUUACCCGCAGAAGAAGCACCGGCUAACUACGUG